rnacentral:rRNA from 1 species
CGGCGGAGACCUAGGCACCCANNNNNNNNNNNNNNCGUAAAUACCGACGAAACGCUUCGGGGAGCUGGCAAUAAGCGUUGAUCCGAAGAUCCCCGAAUAGGGCAACCUCAAGAACUACCUCCCUAAUUCAUAAGGAGGCAAGAGAGAACCCGGUGAACUGAAACAUCUAAGUAGCCGGAGGAAAAGAAAGCAAACGCGAUUCCCAUAGUAGCGGCGAGCGAAAAGGGAACAGCCUAAACCUGAACCUAGUUCAGGGGUCGUGGGAAGACAUUGUUCCCUUUGGUAAGCUGGUCAGAUCCUGGUGUUUUUACCCUGAUGCUUAUGCUUAUGCCCUUUGGUUUUUACCCGCUUCGCGGGCAAAGGCCCAAAGGGUAAAAACUCAUCCCUGAUGCUGAUGCUCCGCAUAAGCAUAGGGAUAUGCAUCUGCAUCAGGGAUAUGCAUAAGCAUAUGAGUAAAAACAGACAUGGAUCAAACCACCCCGAACCAAACCUAGAACAAAGAAAAAUAUAAACUUGUGAAAUACGAAGCAGCUGAAACCUGUUACCAUAGAAGGUGAAAGUCCUGUAGUAUUGCAAGCUUUGACUCUAUUAUGUCUAAAUCCCGAGUAGCAUGGGGCACGUGAAAUCCCGUGUGAAUCAGCGAGGACCACCUCGUAAGGCUAAAUACUCCUGGGUGACCGAUAGCGAAAUAGUACCGCGAGGGAAAGGUAAAAAGAACCCCCGUUGGGGAGUGAAAUAGAACAUGAAACCGAACGCUGACAAGCAGUGGGAGGGCUGGCGUAAAGCCGACGAAGCCUGACCGCGUGCCUGUUGAAGAAUGAGCCGGCGACUUGUAGGAAUUGGCAAGGUUAAGAACUAAAAUUCGAAGCCUAAGCGAAAGCGAGUCUGAAUAGGGCAUAUAAGUCAUUUCUUACGGACCCGAACCCGGUCGAUCUAACCAUGUCCAGGAUGAAGCUGGGGUAAUACCCAUCGGAGGGCCGAACUCACCGAUGUUGAAAAAUCGGGAGAUGAGGUGUGGUUAGGGGUGAAAUACCAAUCGAAGAUCGGAGCUAGCUGGAUCUCCCCGAAAUGCGUUGAGAAGCAGCGGUGCCGAAGAGCUACGUUGUGGUAAAGCACUGUUUCGAUACGGGCUGCGAAAGCGGUACCAAGUCGUAGCAAACUCAGAAUACAAUGUAUUGCUUUCCGUGAACCAGUGAGUCUAGCGGGGAUAAGCUUGUUAGACAAAAGGGAAACAGCCCAGAUCACCAGCUAAGGCCCCUAAAUGGCCACUAAGUGGAAAAGGAUGUGAGAAUGCAUAAACAACCAGGAGGUUUGCUUAGAAGCAGCCACCCUUUAAAGAGUUCGUAACAGAACACUGGUAAAGCGUUCUUGCGCCGACAAUAGCCGGGACUAAGUGGCCUGCCGAAGCUGUGAGUAGUUGCUUUUUUUAUAAUAAAAAAAAGCAGGUUCGGUAGGGGAGCGUUCUGUUAUCGGGUGAAGUUCAACCGAGAGGUUGGGUGGACGUCGCAGAAGCGAGAAUGUUGGUUUGAGUAACGAAAACAUUGGUGAGAAUCCAAUGCCCCGAAAACCUAAGGGUUCCUCUACAAGGUUCGUCCAUGGGGGGUUAGUCAGGACCUAAGGCGAGGCCGAGCGGCGUAGUCGAUGGAAAACAGGUUAAUAUUCCUGUACUUAUUUUUGCUUCCUGGUUUUACCAGGAAAGAAGCGAGGGACGAAGGAGGCUAAGCUGAGACUGUUUAGGAAUGCAGUGGAAGCGUUCAAGGUUUUAACACUCGAACAAAAACGAGUGCAGUUUUGUUCUAACCGACAUUACAGGCUGAGACGUGAUCCUUUGGUUUUCAGUACUAUGUGCGGAUUAUCAAAUCAGUGAUGUCAAACUUCCAAGAAAAGCUCGUACUUUUUAACACAAAAAUAACCUGUACCUGAAACCGACACAGGUAGGUUGGUAGAGUAUACCAAGGGGCGCGAGAGAACUCUCUCUAAGGAACUCGGCAAACUGGCCCCGUAACUUCGGAAGAAGGGGCGCUAUGUCUUUUAAGGCCAUAGCCGCAGUGACCAGGCUCAGGCGACUGUUUACCAAAAACACAGGUCUCCGCAAAGUCGUAAGACAACGUAUGGGGGCUGACGCCUGCCCAGUGCCGGAAGGUUAAGGAAGUUGGUUAAAGGUGUUAAAGCCUUGAAGCUGACGACCGAAGCCCCGGUGAACGGCGGUCGUAACUAUAACGAUCCUAAGGUAGCGAAAUUCAUUGUCGGGUAAGUUCCGACCUGCACGAAAGGCGUAACGAUCUGAGCGCUGUCUCGGAGAGAGACUCGGUGAAAUAGACUUGUCCGUGAAGAUGCGGACUAAUAUUACCUGGACAGAAAGACCCUAUGAAGCUUGACUGUAUCCUGGAAUUGGGUUUGGGCUUUUCUUGCGCAGUCUAGGUGGGAGGCUAAGAAGAUUUCCUUCUGGGGAAGUUGGAGCCAUCAGUGAGAGACCACUCUGGAAGAGCUAGAAUUCUAAUGGUGUUCCUUGAAUCAGGACACUUGACAGUUUCAGGUGGGCAGUUUAUUUGGGGCGAAUACCUCAUAAAAGGUAACUGAGGUGUGCAAAGGUUCUCUCAGCCUGGACGGAAAUCAGGCAUUGAGUGCAAAGGCAAAAGAGAGCUUGACUGCAAGACCCACAAGUCGAGCAGGGGCGAAAGCCGGUCUUAGUGAUCCGACGGUGCCGCGUGGAAGGGCCGUCGCUCAACGAAUAAAAGUUACUCUAGGGAUAACAGGCUGAUCUUCCCCAAGAGUCCAUAUCGACGGGAAGGUUUGGCACCUCGAUGUCGGCUCAUCCUAGCUCAGGGCUGAUGUAGGUCCUAAGAGUUGGGCUGUUCGCCCAUUAAAAGGGUACGUGAGCUGGGUUCAAAACGUCGUGAGACAGUUCGGUCCAUAUCCG